UACGUAGGGUGCAAGCGUUGUCCGGAAUUAUUGGGCGUAAAGAGCUCGUAGGCGGUCUGUCGCGUCGGCUGUGAAAACCCGGAGCUCAACUCCGGGCCUGCAGUCGAUACGGGCAAACUGGAGUACUGCAGGGGAGACUGGAAUUCCUGGUGUAGCGGUGAAAUGCGCAGAUACCAGGAGGAACACCGGUGGCGAAGGCGAUCACCUGGGGUUGUUCUGACGCUGAAGAGCGAAAGCUAGGGGAGCAAACGGG
rnacentral:rRNA from 1 species